GGGCUGCUACGGCGGCCUCUGGGUUGCGGCGCUCUCUUUGCUCGUGUUUCCUCCUGCGACAGCGGAUGGUACAGCUUCGGGCUGGGAAGUCACAGCACUGAUACAGCCUGGCUCUACCCAGACCUCGGCCUCUAGUGACGGACGCACAAGGGAAGCCACAGGCCUAGACAACUGAAGAGCUGAACGCAGAGGAUGGAGGGUCGGAAAGGAAGGCAACAGAGGCCGAGAGGAUGCUCGCUCACCUGGCGCCAAGGCGUCUGGGGCAUGGCUGGCGGCCCCGCUCCUCACACUCCCUCGGGGUUCCGAGAAGCGAGACUGCUGAGAAAGUAAGAGGCACAGGUGAGACUGAUGCUGCCUCGCACCCGCAAACGCCCUCUGCCCGACCUGGGUCCCUCUCCGUCCGGCCACCCCCUCGCUCCAAAAGCACAGAGGUUGGAGAACCAGGUAGAACACGCCCGGGAGAAGAGAAUCCGUUACCCGGACCCCGACCCCCUUCCGCGGCCGCCGCUAACUCGCGCGGCUCAGGAGCAGAGAAGGCGCGGGAACCGCCACCUGCCGCCGGCUCUCGGCCGGAAGUGCGCUUUACCAUUCCCUUCCCCUCUAGGAACCUGGGCAGUUGCCCGUCUCUGUGAUUCCCUACCCACCACUACCCCCCGCGGCCCCCGCAACCGCCAGUGUCCCUCCGCCUGGCGACAGUACUGGCCACUCUCCUGCCUGGGGUCCUGCAGCACCCCCACCUAGGAGCUCCUUCGGGGGGUGCCGUCCGGCCAGCUCAGGCCACAGAACGGUUACAGUCCUGAGUUUUCUGGCGCUUGUCGCUCUGGCUGCCCUUCUAGGUACUGAGGUGGCCAUUGCGCCACAUGUGUGGAAGCCGCCUGGGUUCUGUGGCUGCGCUGCAGCAGGGGGAAGAGUGGGCGUUGAAAAGUAGGGCCCAGCACUCAAAAGGCCAAAUGUCCAAAUGUGCAUUGACCACCUAGGUCCAGAAACCUAGCAGCACUCCUCUGCCAGUCUUCAAAACCAUCCCAUGCUCAAAGAUUUCUCAAGGCACCUCAGAGCUAGACCUGUCAGCGGGAUAACUUGAUAGUUGCGUGACCUGCAGCAAGUUUCUUUGCCUCUGUUUCUUUGUGGAUUAAAUGGGUGUGAUGGUGGUACCAACCUCAAGAGGCUGUUCAUGGUUAAUUAAUUAAAUGAGUCAAUGGAUUGGCUGAGUAUUUACAGUAGUGCCUGGCACAUAA